UACGAAGGGGGCUAGCGUUGUUCGGAAUCACUGGGCGUAAAGGGCGCGUAGGCGGCUUUAUAAGUCGGGUGUGAAAUCCCUCGGCUCAACCGAGGAAGUGCACUCGAUACUGCGUUGCUUGAGUGUUGGAGGGGAUGGCGGAAUUCCCGGUGUAGAGGUGAAAUUCGUAGAUAUCGGGAGGAACACCUGUGGCGAAGGCGGCCAUCUGGACAACUACUGACACUGAGACGCGAAAGCGUGGGUAGCAAACAGG
rnacentral:rRNA from 1 species